UACGUAGGGUGCAAGCAUUAUCCGGAGUGACUGGGCGUAAAGAGUUGCGUAGGUGGUUUGUUAAGUAGAUAGUGAAAGCUAGCGGCUCAACCGUAUAGAUUAUUAUCUAAACUGGCAAACUCGAGAAUGGUAGAGGUAACUGGAAUUUCUUGUGUAGGAGUGAAAUCCGUAGAUAUAAGAAGGAACACCAAUGGCGUAGGCAGGUUACUGGACCAUUUCUGACACUGAGGCACGAAAGCGUGGGGAGCGA
rnacentral:rRNA from 1 species